UUGCCUGUGGAGCGUGGCGAACAUCAAAGCAUGGGAAGUGGUGGAGAAGUCACAUUGAAGAUCGUGUAAUUAUAUAGCAAAAUCCAUUGUCAACCACGAAAUUGAAACCGAACAAUCCAAACGUCGGCUGACUGUCACUCAAAAAAACCAAAAACAGCAAACAAAAAAAAACGGAGAAAAAAUAUGGAGAAAAACUAAGCACUAAGCUCAAUGUCGGGCACCGUCAUCCAUUCGAGCAUCGCGAUUGGCUUUAUGAUUUCAGAGUCUUAUUGCUCAAUUAACUCGGGGAUCUGGCCUCUUGGCCCACGGCCUGGAAAAUGAAAAUACUCAGCCGAACAAUAAAAGAGUUUCCAAUGCACAGUUUCCAGCUUCGGCGACACACAUGCAAAUCUGAAUUCACUAUACCCACUAUGCCAUACAGACUGUGACACAAGUGCUUCCUUGUCACUCGAACGAGGCGUCUGUCUGUCACUGCUCCGAAGUUGUAUCUUCUCGAGCUGCGCCUAGUGGCUGAUAUGGAUUGCUUGGCAGAAGGCGUGGAACAGUGGUCUCUUCUCUUACUAUCACUGGAUUUAGUACUGUACGAGUAUAAAGUAUGAUUGAAUGCUGAUUCCCAACCAGUGCUUUCCAGUAUCUGUGCAUUUCAGCGAAUCCAACCACUGUCUCCCAAAGUCGCAAUCAACGCCACAUCAUCAUCAUCAUCUGCGUCGUGGGCGCAAAGCAUCAUCUCCGCGCUGCUGCCACGCAUUGCUGAUUCCUCAAGUUUUAUUACUCGCCAUGGCAAUUGGGUUGAUCAUCAUUGUGGCAGCUUCGUGGCAGCAUCGUUGUGCGGCAUGACAGACGGAAAAACGCACUUGGCCUGGGCGACAGAGCGGCUCAAUUAGGCUGCCCACCACUUGAGUCGACUGCUGGUACACUAGCCAGCAGGGUUUUGGGGCUUGUCGAGUGAUUAGAGACAGCCAACACAGCACCUUGGCUACCCACCACCAGCCAGCAGGAGAUCUUCCUACCUUAUAAACAGAUGACAUUUCCAGCAGACACCGAAGCAAUUAUCAGGCGAAUUGGCCAUAAAUCCAGGCAGCGGCAGCAACUGUUUCAUAAAUCACAGAACGUUUGCUAUUUGUGAAAAGUCAUAGUGAUUUGAUUUAGGACGGAAAUUAAUCAGAUGAGCCAUGACAAAUGCCUAAACGUUUGUUUAGCGCAUUUAACUCUGCAACAAAAGCCCUGCCGGCCAAUAGUAAAAAUAUGAGCAAAUAAUGAGCUUAGAAAAUUUUACGAUCCAGCCAUCGGCCAGUGACAAAACUGAGAGAAAAGAGGGAUAUGGAAAAGCUGGGGAAGUACACUGCAAACACAAGGCAUUCUCAACUAUUCGACUGUAAAUCAGCUUUUGCU
rnacentral:sRNA from 1 species